UGAGGAAUAUUGGUCAAUGGGGGCAACCCUGAACCAGCCAAGUCGCGUGAAGGAUGAAGGUCUUAUGGAUUGUAAACUUCUUUUAUACAGGAAUAAAUUGGGGGACGUGUCCCCUUUUGCAUGUACUGUAUGAAUAAGGAUCGGCUAACUCCGUGCCAGCAGCCGCGGUAAUACGGAGGAUCCGAGCGUUAUCCGGAUUUAUUGGGUUUAAAGGGUGCGCAGGCGGGAUGUUAAGUCGGCGGUGAAAUUUUGCAGCUCAACUGUAAAAGUGCCUUCGAUACUGGCCUCCUUGAGUGUGGAUGAAGUAGGCGGAAUUUGUGGUGUAGCGGUGAAAUGCUUAGAUAUCAAGAGGAACUCCGAUUGCGCAGGCAGCUUACUAAGCCACAACUGACGCUCAUGCACGAAGGCGUGGGGAUCAAACA
rnacentral:rRNA from 1 species